UGCCAGCAGCCGCGGUAAUACGGAGGGAGCGAGCGUUAAUCGGAAUUACUGGGCGUAAAGCGCGCGUAGGCGGCUUUGUAAGUCGGAUGUGAAAGCCCUGGGCUUAACCUGGGAAUGGCAUUCGAUACUGCAGAGCUAGAGUAAGGUAGAGGGAAGUGGAAUUUCCGGUGUAGCGGUGAAAUGCGUAGAUAUCGGAAGGAACACCAGUGGCGAAGGCGACUUCCUGGGCCAUAACUGACGCUGAUGUGCGAAAGCUAGGGGAGCAAACGGGAUUAGAUA
rnacentral:rRNA from 1 species